GUCUUCGUAGUAUAUAAAAUACCUUGGUCUUGUAAACCAAAAAAGGAGGCACCCACCCUCCCUAAGACU
rnacentral:tRNA from 1 species